AAAAUACUCCCUCUGUCCCAAAAUUCUUGUCUUAGAUUUGUCUAGAUACGGAUGUAUCAAGUCACAUUUUAGUAUUAGAUACAUCUGUAUCUAGACAAAUCUAAGACAAAAAAUUUGGGACAGAGGGAGUAGUUG
rnacentral:pre_miRNA from 1 species